UACUAGGAUGGGUGACCUCCCGG
rnacentral:sRNA from 1 species